rnacentral:rRNA from 1 species
GACGAACGCUGGCGGCGUGCCUAAUACAUGCAAGUAGGACGCAGUUGCGAACGGGUGAGUAACGCGUAGGUAACUGCCUAUUAGAGGGGGAUAACUAUUGGAAACGAUAGCUAAUACAGCAUACUAGUAGAUGGACCUGCGUUGUAUUAGCUAGUAAGUAGGGUAAUGGCCUAACUAGGCGAAGAUACAUAGCCUACGUGGGGAGGUGAUCGGGCACAACGGGAAUGAGACAAGGGCCAGGCCCCGUCGGGAGGGCGCAGUAGGGAAUCUUCGGCAAUGGGGGGAACGCCGACCGAGCACAGCCGCGGGAGUGGAGAAGGUUUUUGGAUCGUAAAGCCCUGUUGUUUAGGAAGCGGUACUUAACGAGAAAGCGACGGCUAACUACGUGCCAGCAGCCGCGGUAAUUC